rnacentral:lncRNA from 1 species
UCGCCAUAUCAAGCUCGUCUUCCCGUUGUUUGGAGUACUUAUCGCAUCAUGAUCAUCGUGAUAAUCCUGUCAUCGUAUGAGCCGACAGCGCUUGCCAGGGUCUCUAGGAAGAUUUUUUAGGAAACCAUGAAGUCGGUUUUUACUGUUAUAACAUUGCAAUAGUUAUGUAACAAUUACUUAAUUGGGUUUUUCUCGCGAAGGGAAUACCCGAGGAUGACAAGAUCCACUAAUAUAUUUGUGGAUGACAUACUGAACUCAGUCUCUACUCCUGUGAAGGUGGGAGACCUGAAGUCAGUUGUUGUAAUAACUGCCACAGACUCACCUUGAAAUCGUCCUGUCACAAGGAUCUUCACACUUCUACAGCACACCUGGACUCUCAGGACAGUGACUGAUGAACUUUACAUCGUCUUCGCUUGUUGUGGAGGCUCUGUACACGUGAAUGAUUUCUCUUAUGAGGAGGUUUACCAUCCUCUCCUUGCUCUUCAUACAGGUUCUCAGGAGCCAAAAUGGCCAGACAACAUGUGAUAUUCCAUCGGUUGAAGAAAAUCAGUCAACUUAUCUUACUUGUUACUAUACGAUUGACUUGCUUCUUGUGAGAAAGAACUUUGCUGUGUUCUAUUAUGUCAAUAAAGACGAGAAGCCAGAAAACGUUGUUGAUUGUAUCUGGAGAGGGCUGAUCCUGAACCAAAAUGCCAAGGUUUCCAGAGGCUUCCAGACGCCCGAACUUAAGGGGAGCGAAGUCAGAAUCCUUCUACAGAAAGCGUCUUCUUCAAACGUGGGAGAGUACUCCUGCACGGCAGAAGAUUCGUUUCCACCCAAUUCCAAGAGGUGUUUGUUUUCUUUGUUGCAGCCAGGCUCUACCACAGUCGCACCAUCCGCUCAGACGGAGCAGUCGCCGAUAAUCCCCAAUCCAAGACAGUACAACAGAUGAAGGGACAGACAAGUCCUCAGGAACAUCAGCUCCGGACUCUAUGUCACGUGUCAUCGAAGGAAUCAUCGUCCUGUUAUUCACAUUAUCAUUUAUUGCGCUCAUCUAUUUCUGAAGCCCUUUAACAAGGAUGGACUGACUGAACAGUGAAUGAAAGUAAAACUGCGGGUAAUAAGAAAUAAAGGCCGUCGUUGUGCAAUAUCUUAGGAGACGACAGAUUCCUUUGUUUUGUUAUUAAUCUUUUUCUUUCUGAAGGCUGCCGUCAUUGUUGACAGUUUUCUGAAAAUAAUAGCCGCUUAAUAGGAUUAAGGGGAACUGGCUUAGCGAGCAAGGACGAACACAAAAGCUUGGGAUUGAGAAGAAAAUGCUGAAAUAAAGAGAUAAAGGGGUUUGAGGAAGACGACCUAGGAAGGUGUUAAGAGUAUUUAAGAGAGGAGAAUGAGGAUGGACACUUUGAAAAAGACAGAAGCAAACAGGUAAAACUGAAACACGGGGCAAAGGUUUCUUGAUCAUUGGACGAAUACUUUACUACCUUUCCAAUCUUCCUUGCCUUAACCAGAUAACAAGGGAUUUUUUUUUUUUUUUUUGAAAACUAAAUUAAUUCUCUAACCUUGACAUAUUAUUAAUCUUUUCGCCAUUGAGUCAUUUUGUAUUUUGUAUUCAUUGUUACUACUAUUCCUACUAUUUUUGUUCUUCUUUAUCCUUCAGUGUUCUUGCUUAUGAUCUUCCUGAUCUUUUUAUUAUUCUUGUUCCUGCUAUUCUUGCUAUUAGUUUUCUGUUAAACUUGCCAUUCUUAUCCUUGUUUUUUCUUUCUAUAUUAUUCUCUCUUUUUUUCCCCUUGCUGCUGUUUUUCUGCUAAUGAUUCUUCUGCUUUUUCUUCUCCCAACUAUUCUUCUACUGCUGUUCUCGUUAUUCAUCAUCUUGCUAUUCUUUUCUCUGCUGUUCUUCGCUCAGCUAUUCUUCCUCUUGCUGUUAUUCUUCAUGCUAUUUUUCUUGCUCUUCUUCAUCUUCGUACUUUCUUCUUCCUUCUUGUUCUUCCUCGUCUUGGUCUCUUUUCCUCCUUUUCUUACUUUUUGUGGUCUUUUUCUCUGUUUUUCUUUCUUUCUUUCCUUCCAUUUCUUCUUACUUUGAUAAUAAUUUCAACUACAGUUUGAUAGUUAUGGUAAUCAUGGAGGUCUGGGUCAAAAAAAUGCAUCUAGCGGCUGUCCACCUUUGAUGUGUGUGAACUGAGCUCGAGUCUUCCGACAAUAAAACCACUGACAAGGGCAGACAACACAGAUCUCGCGAAUCCCCCACACGCGAACGAGAAGAGCCUGUCCCUCCCAGCUCCCACCCCAAGGAGCUCUUCUGUCUCUCACUUCUCUUUCAGUGCCGGCCAUGUCUGGGCGUGGCCUUAUGACUGAGGUUGUCUUUGGCGGCACAUCUACCACGCACGCCCUCUCUCGGCGCGUGUCUCGCAAAGGAUUAUGGGGUGGGGUUAAAGAACGGCAACUCCUCGACCACUGGCAAAAAAAAAGUAAAUCUCUUUGUGGGACUAACAUUUUUCUGCUGAUGUUGGCAAAACUUGCACGUGAUUACUUUGGACCACACGGGACCCGGGGGUGAAGGGAUCUGGGUGUGACUUACCGUGGGUGUCUCGGUGGCACUGUGUCGGAGGGAUGCGGAGGAUUCACUUCAAGUGUCCACUUUGCACAAAUCAUAUCGUCAACAAAACCUUGCCAGCUUGGAGUGGCUAGCUGUCUGUGGCAAAUAAAUCACACCUAGAAGACCUGCUAGAUAGCACCCUACAAGUUUUUCUUCUCUUCUUUUUCUUCCUCUCUCUCUCCCUCCCUACCCCUCCUUUCUAUCUCUGUCUCAUCUCUCUGUCGCUCUCCAUCCACUUUUUUUUGUUAGUACGUACUAGAACUGUUUCUUCUUGAUGAUAUAGGGCAGUCUGGGUAAAGCAAGAAAUUUCCCUCAAAUUCAACUGCUGAAUGCCUAUACCAGAGAAAGGGGCAGUGUAGGGGUAGAACCUCCAGCAGCAACGACCUCUCCCGGUCUUGAGGUUUGUUUAUCUGAAAACUAUGACAUUCCCACCCAUAUACAAUGGUCUCCACU